UUGCAGGGCUGCAGAGAGGGAGCUAUUUCCCUCCCAUCUCUGGUUCUUGUGUCUUGUGGGGCUUUGCUGAAAGGGGAGUGAGCAGACGUGUCUCAGGGUCAUACCCUGGUGACAGGGAGGCACUGGGAAGAUGGGUCGGUGGGUGCUUCAGUGGGGGCUUACUUUGAAACUGUGUUCUCAUUUAGGGGCAGGGCUGAAUGAGGGGCUUUGGGAGGAGUCAUUAGAGAUUAAGUGUCAUUUAAGCCCUCCCUGUGGCUUCACUGGCACUUCCUCUCUGGGUUGCAACAAGGGCAUGGGAAGACUCCUCAGAGAAGAAGCUGAAUCUGAAGCCCAGGAUCGGCUUUGAUUCUAAUGGGGCUCAGGCCAAGAGAAGCCGGGUGCAGAUCUGUUUUUGUCCUUGAAGAGAGAAGACAGACAACUUAUUAAGAUGUCCUGGAGAGAUUUGAAUCUAUGGGAGGUGAGAACCUGGUCUGAUGAGAAUGUUCUCUCAGUGGCAGCAAAUACAGACAUUCUGGAGGAGCUGAGGCCACAUUUUGGAUCAUGAAGUUCCCAAAUCCAUUAGACAAUAUUCCAGAGCUAUCAUCAGUCUUUACUUCUGCGUCAAAGUCAUUCUACAAACGUGAAAAGCCCGCUUCUCUGAUCUUUUCUUUUUGAGACUCCUAAAAUGCAAAAAGUUGCUCUUCAUUUAUUUUUUCUUGGACAAGUCUUUUAGCUGCUUGUCCUACUCAAAUAAUAAUGAUAACAACAACAAUAAUAACAAUAAAAGC